GGAGGCCAUUACUCUUUCUUCUUUCCUCGUGGGCUGCUGAUAGAGGAGGAUCUGCGCAGCUGUCAACAGCAGUGACUAGGCCCAAGCCUUGCGGCAACGGCCAUCUUACAGAACUUACACAUCACAGUGAUGUCUAGUGGUACGCCCCCCGCACCUGAGAGCUUUGGCUCUCGCUCCCCGCACUUCCAGCUAUUGACUUGCCGUCUGCUGUAUGGACACGUGGAAUAAAGCAUCGUUUGGCAAAUACUCCUCAGUGGGUUUACAAGUCACAGCUGGUGUAGGAAGAUAACACCCAGAGAGAAAAGGAGCCGAUGCCAAACAUGCCCGUCGGGGACCUGGCGGCCGGCAUACUGCUUUGGCUAAAGAAGUAUGUGAAGUUGCUGUGUUACACUGUUGGU